rnacentral:rRNA from 1 species
GACGAACGCUGGCGGCGUGCUUAACACAUGCAAGUCGAACGAAGAGCGAUGGAAGCUUGCUUCUAUCACUCUUAGUGGCGAACGUGUGAGUAACGCGUAAUCAACCUGCCCUUCAGAGGGGGACAACAGUUGGAAACGACUGCUAAUACCGCAUACGAUCUAAUCUCGGCAUCGAGGAUAGAUGAAAGGUGGCCUCUACAUGUAAGCUAUCACUGAAGGAGGGGAUUGCGUCUGAUUAGCUAGUUGGAGGGGUAACGGCCCACCAAGGCGAUGAUCAGUAGCCGGUCUGAGAGGAUGAACGGCCACAUUGGGACUGAGACACGGCCCAGACUCCUACGGGAGGCAGCAGUGGGGAAUCUUCCGCAAUGGACGAAAGUCUGACGGAGCAACGCCGCGUGAGCGAUGACGGCCUUCGGGUUGUAAAGCUCUGUUAAUCGGGACGAAAGGCCUUCUUGCGAAUAGUGAGAAGGAUUGACGGUACCGGAAUAGAAAGCCACGGCUAACUACGUG